rnacentral:rRNA from 1 species
GAUGAACGCUAGCGGCAGGCUUAACACAUGCAAGUCGAGGGGCAACACGGGUAGCAAUACCUGGUGGCGACCGGCGCAAGGGUGCGUAACGCGUGAGCAACAUGCCCUAUACAGGGGGAUAAUCCAGGGAAACUUGGUCUAAUAUCCCAUAGUAUUUAGAGGUGGCAUCACCACUAAAUUAAAGCUUCGGUGGUAUAGGAUUGGCUCGCGUGACAUUAGCUGGAUGGUGGGGUAACGGCUCACCAUGGCGAUGAUGUCUAGGGGUUCUGAGAGGAAGACCCCCCACACUGGUACUGAGACACGGACCAGACUCCUACGGGAGGCAGCAGUGAGGAAUAUUGGUCAAUGGGCGCAAGCCUGAACCAGCCAUCCCGCGUGAAGGAAGAAUGCGCUACGCGUUGUAAACUUCUUUUCCAGGGGGAGAAUAAUCCUGUCGUGACAGGACUUGACGGUACUCUGGGAAUAAGCAUCGGCUAACUCCGUGCCAGCAGCCG